rnacentral:lncRNA from 1 species
CUGGAAAGCUGUACUUUAAUCAUUUUAACCUGAAAAUAUUCAAAAAAUUUUUUUUAGUUUGUUUUGAGGGAAAUUCUUUCUUUUCUUUUUUCCAUUUGUGAACAAAAUCAGAGGUGGUAUGGAGUAGAAGAAAAUCAGAGGUGACAUGUGCUUUGUUUGGGUGUGUCCUAGAGUCCAGGGUCAACCACUGGCCCUUCUGCAGAUGACUAUGAGGUGUCAUUCAUUUGUCUCCCUUGAGGUCAGGAUGUGAGUGGGUGGGACCUUCAAGUGGAACCCUGCUGGGCGAUGGUCCUACUUAGGAGGAAACAAAUCCUCCUGUAAGGAGAGCUGCCCAGGUUGGUUUUCUGCCAAUGUGGCAGUUUGUUGAAUACAAUUUGUUCAAUAUCUAUUGGUCAAAUGGGAUGAUAAAGUAAAAAACACAUGCAUAUAUAUAUAUAUAUAUUAAUGUACAUGUAGAUAAUAUGUAGACACUUUGAGAAAUAUACAGCAAGGAGGUAUUAUUUACUACAGCUACAGCUCUGAUUCGACUCCAUAGAGCACACCAGGCAAGGAAAAGAAAGAUCAGGUACCCAACUAACGGUUCUUGUUCUCAGCUGCACAUCCAACCCCCCUGGGAUCCUCAUGAAAGGUUGGGCUUCCAGGCUUUCCUCCAGAGAGAUGGAGCCAACAGUUCUGGUGUUGUGCCUGGGAAACUGUAGAUACAUUUUUAAAGCUACAGAUGUGGUAGUGCUACCCAUCCAGGAGACUGGAUUUUCCUUUUUCCAUCUGAUUCUUCCAGCCUUCCCUUGUUCUGUAUCACAGACCAGUCUGCCUCUAAAAGCAGUCAUUUUUUAAAAUUGCCAAAUAACUACCAUGUGCAUAGGUAUUGUCUGCAGCAUUAUAGGAAAUAGAAAUACAGGUAAGAUCCAGUUUGAGGGAGGUUAGAAUCUGGUAGGGGAGGUAAAAGACAACCUGAAAAUGGUGAGGCUAUAAGCAAAAGCAUCACCUUUCCCGUUCUGUCCACUUCCAAGAAAUCUGAGGCGCUUCCCUAAGUCUUGGCUGUUUUGAGUCCACCUCCAAUGUCAUUGGCAGUGCUUCCCAGCUGGCCUUCAGGGCUAAAGGAGCAAGUGCAUUCUGACUGCCAUUGAAGGAAAUUGAAAACAAUCAUUCUUUGUCCUAUGGAAGAGGUAGGAUAGGAUUAUCACAGCUGUGCUUUAGGAUGUAAGUGUUCACUGAAUCGAACUAUGCGCCCUUUCCGCAAUUGUUGUGGAUAUACUGCCUGCGUUUAUUUUAAAAUAUAGAAGUGCUACUUUUCUGAAUUGGUCUAUAAUUUAUAAGGAACAUCAUUAUAAUUACAAAGGCGGCAUUAUUAUUCUGCAGUCAUCCUGUAUGGAUGGGAGCUUAAUGCCUAUGGUAAUUCCUUCCCUCUUUCUCCACAAGUGAUUUAUCACUUGUCUGACCCAACUUCUCUGAACGUCAUUGUUGUAUCCUCUCCAUACCCCUCACUUCACGGUGGAAUGUUAAGAAUAGGGUAUGUUCUUCAGCUCUUCGUUUGCAUGCUUCUGAGAUGCCAUGCUGUAUCAUUAAUCACCAUCACAAAUAUUCUCGUGUAUAUGCUUUAUACACAUAUAUUCUUUCAGGGUCACUGAACUAAUAAAACAGCGUAUUCCAAGCACUGUGGCGCAUCACAGCCUAUGGUUACAAGGUAGCUAAUAAGAGGCAUAAGGUAAGCCCAGAUUUUGCAAGAUAUUUUCAAUCAGGUGAACAUGUUGGGAAUCUUUUCAAAUAAUGCACCUGCUCGUAGGAUCAAAAGUAACCAUUCUGCAUCAUGCUUAAUAAAUACUAUUGUUUUCAUAGCAUUUAAAUAUUUAUCAGAUAGCUUUUAAAGUUGAAGAAAAGAUGGAGCUCAUCCUUGUGCCCCCUUUCUCCAUGUAAGGAAACAGGUAGCCUAUUACUUCUAAGUAGAAAAUAUCAUCUGGCCUAAGGUCUAUUGUUACUGCAAGUCAGUGUGCCCAAUGCACGGUGAGGCCAAACACACCAAAAUGUUGGAAUUUGGAGCAGAGAAAGGUUUAUCGCAGGGCCAUGCAAGAGGCCGGGUAGCGCAUGUCCCCCAAAUACCCCAAACUCCCUGACCCAAAAUUGCAAAGCAGUUUUAAAGGUAAGGUGAGGGAGGGGCAUGGUUGGUUGUUGCAAACAUCUUGGGGCAGAAAUCCUUUGUCCUUGUAGCUGUCCACAGAGGGCAGGUCACAGGGUUCUUGCAAACCUCCAACAAGGUGCAUGUUAUACUUCAGAGAGGAGCUAAAGCAGAGGAUGCGGGGAAAGAGCCUGCCCCUCGAAGGCCCCAUAGGGUCCUGCUCGGUUACAUAAUAACCCAUCAGAUGCUAACCCACUAAGAGAACCACCCUGAGAGAUUUGCGCUGACCUGUCUUCCCUCCAGCUGCAUUUCUCUGGGUCUGCAGAACAGAUGAAUUUCUCAAAAGGAGGUGGAUUAUAAAGUAAGUGGAUUUUCUUAUAUUUCUUUGGGAUAGUUGUAUUUAGGGAGAAACCCUAGAAACUUGGGCUCCUGAAACCCUUCCCCACCCCCCGCCCCAUGAAUGGUGAUGGCUCGGAGAGUUUCUUUUCUUCUAGUUAAGAGGGAAGAGCUACACUGGGAGUUCCCGUCAUGGUGCAGUGGUUAUCGAAUCUGACUAGGAACCAUGAGGUUGCGGGUUCGAUCCCUGCCCUUGCUCAGUGGGUUAAGGAUCCGGCAUUGCCGUGAGCUGUGGUGUAGGUUGCAGACGCGGCUCAGAUCCUGUGUUGCUGUGGCUCUGGUGUAGGCUGGCGGCUAUAGCUCUGAUUCGACCCCUAGCCUGGGAACCUCCAU